ensembl:lncRNA
GCCAAUACUUCUGGGGAGCACUAUCAGAGAACCACUGCCUGACAAAAGGGGUUUACUUUAGACCUGCAAAGAACCUCCUCAUGGUGGGACAGUGAGUCACAGUAUGUGGCAGCCUUGAGAGGAUGGGAUAGUGCACUUAACCACUGUGGUCUUCCUUGCAGAAAUAUACUCACCUGACAGAGGAGCCUGGUGGGCUGCCGUCUAUGGGGUGGCACAGAGUCGGACACGACUGAAGCAACUUAGCAGCAGCAGCAGCAGCAGUGUAUCACCCAGGUGGCGCUAGUGGUAGAGAAACUGCCUGCCAGUGCAGGAGAGUUCCAAGACAAUGUGCUCAAGGUGGUGGUUGAAAUGAAGGGCGGUCAGAGUCCUUUCCCCAGACAAUAUUUUGCUGCUGGUCCCCUCAGCCUUUUGGAUGCUUAUUGUUUACAGUUCCUGCCAUGGUAUCUGACGAGGUUCCAGACAAUAAGUAUCAACCAUACCUGGCAGGAAUCUUGGGUUUCCUCUGAAAGCUCCUCUGGCAGGCUUGCCUGGCUGUGCGUCCAUGUCUACCGCCAAAACAAACAUGUUGCAGGGGUGUUGUUCAUGCAUUGCCCUCGAAAACUCUUGCUGUCACGGGAUCACCCUCUUCCUGCUGAUGGAUGGUCAUUAUCUGACUCUGUUGCCAUGGAGAGGGAUGGACUCAGGUGUGUUUUUCAAGCCUGCAUAUUCCCACUGGGGCUGCAACAAGGAUGCUUCUGUACGUCAUGUUUGGCAAGCCUGUGGCAGGCUGUGGCCAGGCUUUUCCUGCAGGUCAAACCUAAUCAACUGAUCAGCUGCAGAUCAUAUCAAGACCUCUGCUUGAUACGUUAUUAGUGACAGACAUGCUUCCAUAAUGAAUAUCAUGAUGUCAUUUGACCAUAACGUUGUUGAGGUGGGGAAAGAAAACACUCCAGUCAUCAGACUUGGGAUGAGAAGGGCUUGUGUUCACAGAAACACAACUUCACGUCACUGUUUCUCACGAAGGACUGUUUUGUUCUUGAAGACUGCUGCUCAUCCUCUGAUGUUGAUUUCCUAUGUUACAACGACCUCGAUUCGUAUGCCCUGGCAAGCAGCACAAGCACUGUUUCCUGUUUCUGAACUUGUAGACAACCAUCCAUACGUCUCAUGGUUGUCAAUUCAACCAGAUAACUGUGGCACCUCCUUGAUGCUUUUUUAAAGGACCUUGGAAAUGAAGUUUUUAAUUUUUUUGGAUAGGGUAUUCU